rnacentral:rRNA from 1 species
CAGUCGCCGCGGUAAUACAGAGGGUGCGAGCGUUAAUCGGAUUUUCUGGGCGUAAAGCGUGCGUAGGCGGCUUCUUAAGUCGGAUGUGAAAUCCCUGAGCUUAACUUAGGAAUUGCAUUCGAUACUGGGAAGCUAGAGUAUGGGAGAGGAUGGUAGAAUUCCAGGUGUAGCGGUGAAAUGCGUAGAGAUCUGGAGGAAUACCGAUGGCGAAGGCAGCCAUCUGGCCUAAUACUGACGCUGAGGUACGAAAGCAUGGGGAGCAAACAGGAUUAGAUACCCCCGUAGUCCCUGUCUCUUAUAC